rnacentral:lncRNA from 1 species
GUGCCAACAUACACUGUAAAUAUCAUUUUCUUUUUUUCCACACUGUCAUCUGUGCCUGUCAGUCACACAGUGAAUGAGCUGAGCUGUAGGGAGCGUUUACCGCCAUUCAACGCUGAAACGAACCUAAAGCAGCACAUUUGUUUUCAGUUCACGUCCUACAGAGUUAAUAGAUUCUGAAGUUCACAAUGCCUUAUGAGAGAAUUCUGGCCAUUGAAAAUUUGAGCCAAGUCCCAAAUCCAUGGAAGGGAGUGACAAUGACCCGUUGUCUGGUGCUGGCACUGGUUGUUCUGCUCGUGAGCUCAGGAGUGCAAGAAGUGCACGAGGCUGUGGAUUAUGUUAUGGAGGAGACAGGAAUCAGGACUUUGGUUCAAACUCUGAAAAAUGGAUCACUACCUCAGAUUUCCCUCUGGGACUCGUUGACGUGGUGGUGGGGAUCUGAGGAGCUCGGAGUCAUCAGAAGAAGGAAAAAGCCCAUUACCAGAACAGUCCUGAAAGCCAAGCCCAAAGCCUAACAAGUGAACAUGUUCUAAAAAGUCUAUCAGUAAAGGUCUUACAUAAACUUUAGUUUUUACUCACUGUUGAAUCAUCAUCAGAUUCAAUAAAUAUUCAAGUUAUUGAAAC